GUCCACGCCCUAAACGAUGUCAACUAGGUGUCGGGAGCGCAAGUUCUUGGUACCGCAGCUAACGCGUGAAGUUGACCGCCUGGGGAGUACGGUCGCAAGAUUAAAACUCAAAGGAAUUGACGGGGACCCGCACAAGCGGUGGAUGAUGUGGAUUAAUUCGAUGCAACGCGAACAACCUUACCUACCCUUGACAUGUCCAGGACCCUGCUGAAAGGCGGGGGUGCCCGAAAGGGAAUUGGAACACAGGUGCUGCAUGGCUGUCGU
rnacentral:rRNA from 1 species